AUACGGAGGGUGCAAGCGUUGCUCGGAAUCACUGGGCGUAAAGGGUACGCAGGCGGUUCAUUAAGUCGGGUGUGAAAGCCCGGAGCUCAACUCCGGAACUGCGCUCGAUACUGGUGAACUUGAGUACGGGAGAGGGAAGCGGAAUUCCUGGUGUAGAGGUGAAAUUCGUAGAUAUCAGGAGGAACACCAGUGGCGAAGGCGGCUUCCUGGCCCGAUACUGACGCUCAUGUACGAAAGCGUGGGGAGCAAACAGGAUUAGAAACCCCUGUAGUCC
rnacentral:rRNA from 1 species